UAAAGAGUUAGAUGCCGAGCUCGUCAGG
rnacentral:sRNA from 1 species